rnacentral:rRNA from 1 species
GAUGAACGCUGGCGGCGUGCUUAACACAUGCAAGUCGAACGGAAAGGCCCUGCUUUUGUGGGGUGCUCGAGUGGCGAACGGGUGAGUAACACGUGAGUAACCUGCCCUUGACUUUGGGAUAACUUCAGGAAACUGGGGCUAAUACCGGAUAGGAGCUCCUGCUGCAUGGUGGGGGUUGGAAAGUUUCGGCGGUUGGGGAUGGACUCGCGGCUUAUCAGCUUGUUGGUGGGGUAGUGGCUUACCAAGGCUUUGACGGGUAGCCGGCCUGAGAGGGUGACCGGCCACAUUGGGACUGAGAUACGGCCCAGACUCCUACGGGAGGUAGCAGUGGGGAAUAUUGCACAAUGGGCGGAAGCCUGAUGCAGCAACGCCGCGUGCGGGAUGACGGCCUUCGGGUUGUAAACCGCUUUCGCCUGUGACGAAGCGUGAGUGACGGUAAUGGGUAAAGAAGCACCGGCUAACUACGUG